UGGGGAAUAUUGCACAAUGGGCGAAAGCCUGAUGCAGCGACGCCGCGUGAGGGAUGACGGCCUUCGGGUUGUAAACCUCUUUCAGCAGGGACGAAGCGCAAGUGACGGUACCUGCAGAAGAAGCACCGGCUAACUACGUGCCAGCAGCCGCGGUAAUACGUAGGGUGCAAGCGUUGUCCGGAAUUACUGGGCGUAAAGAGUUCGUAGGCGGUUUGUCGCGUCGUUUGUGAAAACCAGCAGCUCAACUGCUGGCUUGCAGGCGAUACGGGCAGACUUGAGUAGUGCAGGGGAGACUGGAAUUCCUGGUGUAGCGGUGAAAUGCGCAGAUAUCAGGAGGAACACCGGUGGCGAAGGCGGGUCUCUGGGCAGUAACUGACGCUGAGGAACGAAAGCGUGGGUAGCGAACAGG
rnacentral:rRNA from 1 species